rnacentral:rRNA from 1 species
GAUGAACGCUGGCGGCGUGCCUAAUACAUGCAAGUCGAGCGAACGGACGAGAAGCUUGCUUUUCUGAUGUUAGCGGCGGACGGGUGAGUAACACGUGGAUAACCUCCCUAUAAGACUGGGAUAACUUCGGGAAACCGGAGCUAAUACCGGAUAAUAUUUUGAACCGCAUGGUUCAAAAGUGAAAGACGGUCUUGCUGUCACUUAUAGAUGGAUCCGCGCUGCAUUAGCUAGUUGGUAAGGUAACGGCUUACCAAGGCAACGAUGCAUAGCCGACCUGAGAGGGUGAUCGGCCACACUGGAACUGAGACACGGUCCAGACUCCUACGGGAGGCAGCAGUAGGGAAUCUUCCGCAAUGGGCGAAAGCCUGACGGAGCAACGCCGCGUGAGUGAUGAAGGUCUUCGGAUCGUAAAACUCUGUUAUUAGGGAAGAACAGAUGUGUAAGUAACUGUGCACAUCUUGACGGUACCUAAUCAGAAAGCCACGGCUAACUACGUG